GGGCUGCAGUGGGGAAUUUUGCGCAAUGGGCGGAAGCCUGACGCAGCAAUACCGCGUGAGUGAAGAAGGCCCUUGGGUCGUAAAGCUCUUUUCUGGGGGAAGAUAGUGACGGUACCCCAGGAAUAAGCACCGGCUAACUCCGUGCCAGCAGCCGCGGUAAUACGGAGGGUGCAAGCGUUGUUCGGAUUUACUGGGCGUAAAGGGCACGUAGGCGGCAUAGUAAGUUAAGGGUGAAAUCCCGGGGCUCAACUCCGGAACUGCUCUUAAAACUGCUGAGCUAGAGAUAGUCAGAGGCGGGUAGAAUUCCUGGUGUAGAGGUGAAAUUCGUAGAUAUCAGGAGGAAUACCGGUGGCGAAGGCGGCCCGCUGGGGCUAUUCUGACGCUAAGGUGCGAAAGCGUGGGGAGCAAACGGGAUUAGAUACCCGGGUAGUC
rnacentral:rRNA from 1 species